GGAUGCUGUGGCCCCCAGUUCUAUGGGAGAUUGUCGCUGAUUUGCUUGAAUCAUCCCGUGGGCUGGCAGUGAAGUAACAGCAGGAGCGCUACCAGUCCCUGCAGAAGGAGGGCAUUGGCUAUCAGAUCUCAUGAGGGGAAGUGCUAAAACUGGGGAGCCCUCCCAGUUUUCCCAGCACCUACGACUGGGCCUUAAUUUAGGCCUUCUACCACAGUCUGCAUUAGUCAUGUGCCAUCUGCAAAAUGACUCAGACAGGCCUGGGUUUUGCGCAGCCCAAUUGGACUGAUGGCUCUUGGCAGACAGGUCACCUGUGUGUGUGUUUGUGCUAGAUUUGUCCUUAGGGACAGUGGUUCCUAGGAUGGUGGCAAGGGUUGGAGGAAAGGGUGUGUCAGGGUCUGGCACACACUGGGCACCCCCUCUCUGAGCAUUCCUUGUUAGAUUUGGGGGCUUGGUUACAGGAGUCACCAGGCCACACUGAGUCCUGUGCAGUGCUGCCCUUCCCUCUAGGGCAGAGGGCCAUCCUCAAGCCGCCUGCCCUGGCCCAGAGGCUGUGCACCCACAGCUGUUGUGCUUCUGACCAUACUCAGGCAAGAGUCAGCGGCUUCUAUUAAUAACCGGCUCGGUGGCCCAGGGCCCAGGGUGGCCAGCAGCUCCUAUAAAGCCAGACCCACGAGUCCUGAGAGGCUCCUUCAGCCCCUGAGACCUUUAGCCCCCCUGUUGUACAGAGAGAAAAAGAAAAGUAUUUCUAUCUCACAUAUUCCAAAGAAAGAACCAGCUUCUGAGACUCAUGGGAGCUCACCUGAAAACCCUAGGAAUGUCUUGCCUGGUGGGCUCCACUCCACCCUGUCAUGUGGAGUGGCUAGAAGUCAGAAGAUGGCCUUUUAUGGCACCGGUUAAUGUAACUGUCUGGCUUGGAGGUCAAGAGUGGACACUGGGACUUUGGGCAGACCUGGGUUCAAAGCCUGAUCUUGCUACUCACUAGUGCUCUGUGACCCUGCAGCACCACCAUGCUCUGAGCUUGACUCACUUUUACCAUCUGCAAAAUGGAACUCAAAGAUUGAGGCUGAAGACCCGAUCACAUGCUCAUCUCAUGUACACGUUGUUCUGUCCCUCUGGUCUGUCACUGACACCCCUGCUCCCAGCCUGGGGAGGGCAGCUGGUAACUCACCAACAACUCCAGGGCCUGGGGUACAGGAGGCACACUGCCUACCUGCAAAAUUAACCCAAAUCGUGCUCAGAAACUGCAGACUGACAGCUGAUGCACCACCCCUAGUUUUGUCCUGUCCACACAGCUUCUCACAACAUUUAAAAUAUGCUGUCAGGAGCUCCCGUUGUGGC